rnacentral:tRNA from 1 species
GGUCAUGUGGCCUAGUGGUCAUGGCAUCUGCUCGGUAAGCGGAAGGUCGUGGGUUCGAUUCCCAUCCCUUGACACU